rnacentral:rRNA from 1 species
UACGUAGGGGGCGAGCGUUGUCCGGAUUUAUUGGGCGUAAAGAGCGUGUAGGCGGUUCGGUAAGUCUGUCGUGAAAUCCUGAGGCUCAACCUCGGACGUGCGAUGGAUACUGCCGGGCUAGAGGAUGGUAGAGGCGAGUGGAAUUCCCGGUGUAGCGGUGGAAUGCGCAGAUAUCAGGAGGAACACCGGUGGCGAAGGCGGGAUCCUGGGCCAGUACUGACGCUGAGGAGCGAAAGCGUGGGGAGCAAACAGG